rfam:Cajanus cajan chromosome 8, whole genome shotgun sequence.
UCCCAAUGAUGACAAAUCCAAAGGCUUGUUUCUCAAUACAUUCGCAGUGGCCGCCUAAGAGCUUUCGCCUUCGUCAGGCUUGAGAGCUAGUGCUGCUUUUAUCCUUCCUUGGAUGUCUGAGGGC